rnacentral:tRNA from 8 species
GCCGCCAUGGUGAAAUCGGUAGACACGCUGCUCUUAGGAAGCAGUGCUCAAGCAUCUCGGUUCGAGUCCGAGUGGCGGCA